rnacentral:rRNA from 1 species
UACGUAGGGUGCGAGCGUUAAUCGGAAUUACUGGGCGUAAAGCGUGCGCAGGCGGUUUUGUAAGCCAGAUGUGAAAUCCCCGGGCUUAACCUGGGAAUGGCAUUUGGGACUGCAAGGCUAGAGUGUGGCAGAGGAGACUGGAAUUCCUGGUGUAGCAGUGAAAUGCGUAGAUAUCAGGAGGAAUACCGAUGGCGAAGGCAAUCCCCUGGGCCUGCAUUGACGCUCAUGCACGAAAGCGCGGGGAGCAAACAGG